rnacentral:lncRNA from 13 species
GGAGAGAGAGAGCAGUGUUUUGAAGACUGCUGACUAGCACACGACAAAAGUAGGUUGUCUUGUCUGGGUGUUUUAAUGCGAUGUUUUACUAACGCUGUUGUUACCUCCUUCAACAGCGCUGGAAUGCUCAUGAAAGCGGAACGGAAGAGUACGAGGCAGAAGGCCAGCUGCACCUGUGGAACCCUGAUGAACCCUCUACCCCACGAGGCUCUAACACACCCCUCUCAGACCACCAGGAGGAGAGGUUUCGGGAGGCCUGCGAGGAGCUGGCCAUGCCCUGGGAUGGAUGUGCCAGCCACCAUGAGCUACUGGCUCUCUGUGACCACCUGGGCCUGGAGGUGAGGAAAGAGUCUGUAAUGGUACCCUUAUCUUUAUAGUGUGGAAUAGGGUGCCAUUUUGGAUUCAACCAAAGUUCAUUUUGGGCUCAGCUGGUCCCAAUUUACUCCUCAUCCCAUCCUCUUGGCCCUAAUCCUUCCAUGUUUGCCGAUCUGCAAUUUUUAUUUUAUUUUACCUUUAUGUAACUAGGCAAGUCAGUUAAGAACAAAUUCUUAUUUUCAAUAACGGCCUAUUUUGGACAUAAUCCCAAGUGGAGGUCUGAGUAGACGCUGGGAAAUGUUUCUGAUUGUUUGUUUAUUUUUUGUCUCCAGGUGACGGAGGAUGUCCUCCAGGUUCUAAGUGGUGAUGAGGUCAUGAGCGUUCAGGCGUUUACUUCCUGGGUUCUGAACCAUGCCAAGCCCCCCACCCCGUCUGCCUCCACACCUUACAGACAGCUCAAAAGACUACACUCCUCACAGGUACAGUGAAGCUCACCAUUUUAGGUCUAGUUCUCAUGUCAAAGCUAGACAUCGGUACCACAUUUUAGUGAUUUUUUUCCAAACUCCUGAUUUACAUUUUUUUUUAAAACAUGCUGGGAACAAUUAUUGAAUGAAUGUACUAACAAAUGAAUGAAUCAAUUAUUGAAUGAAUUAACUAACAAGUGAAUGAAUCAAUUAUUGAAUGAAUGUACUAACAAAUGAAUGAAUCAAUUAUUGAAUGAAUUAACUAACAAGUGAAUGAAUCAAUUAUUGAAUGAAUGAACUAACAAAUGAAUGAAUCAAUUAUUGAAUGAAUUAACUAACAAAUGAAUGAAUCAAUUAUUGAAUGAAUUAA